AAACUUAAAGGAAUUGACGGGGGCCCGCACAAGCGGUGGAGCAUGUGGUUUAAUUCGACGCAACGCGCAGAACCUUACCAGGCCUUGACAUCCCACGCGACCUCGAGAGAUCGGGGGUUCCCUUCGGGGACGUGAGACAGGUGCUGCAUGGCUGUCGUCAGCUCGUGUCGUGAGAUGUUGGGUUAAGUCCCGCAACGAGCGCAACCCUCGCCUUUAGUUGCCAUCAUUCAGUUGGGCACUCUAGAGGGACUGCCGGUGACAAGCCGGAGGAAGGUGGGGAUGACGUCAAGUCCUCAUGGCCCUUACGGCCUGGGCUACACACGUGCUACAAUGGCGGUGACAGAGGGCAGCGAUCCAGCGAUGGGAGCCAAUCUCUAAAGCCGUCUCAGUUCAGAUUGCACUCUGCAACUCGGGUGCAUGAAGGUGGAAUCGCUAGUAAUCGCAGAACAGCAGGCUGCGGUGAAUACGUUCCCGGGCCUUGUACACACCGCCCGUCACACCAUGGGAGUUGGUUCGGCCUUAAGACAGUGCGCUAACCCGCAAGGGGGGCAGCUGGCCACGGCCGGGUCAGCGACUGGGGUGAAGUCGUAACAAGGUAGCCGUAGGGGAACCUGCGGCUGGAUCACCUCCUUUAUG
rnacentral:rRNA from 2 species